rnacentral:rRNA from 1 species
UACAGAGGUCUCAAGCGUUGUUCGGAUUCAUUGGGCGUAAAGGGCAGGUAGGUGGUUACGUAUGUCUGAGGUGAAAUCCCCGAGCUUAACUUGGGAAGUGCCUUGGAAACGGCGUAACUAGAGUAUCGGAGAGAGUCGUAGAAUUCCCGGUGUAGCGGUGAAAUGCGUAGAGAUCGGGAGGAAUACCAGAGGCGAAGGCGGCGACUUGGACGAUUACUGACACUCAACUGCGAAAGCAUGGGGAGCAAACAGG